rnacentral:rRNA from 1 species
UACGAAGGGUGCAAGCGUUACUCGGAAUUACUGGGCGUAAAGCGUGCGUAGGUGGUUGUUUAAGUCUGUUGUGAAAGCCCUGGGCUCAACCUGGGAAUUGCAGUGGAUACUGGGCGACUAGAGUGUGGUAGAGGGUAGUGGAAUUCCCAGUGUAGCAGUGAAAUGCGUAGAGAUCGGGAGGAACAUCCAUGGCGAAGGCAGCUACCUGGACCAACACUGACACUGAGGCACGAAAGCGUGGGGAGCAAACAGG